rnacentral:rRNA from 1 species
UCCGGUUGAUCCUGCCGGACCCUACUGCUAUCGGGAUGGGACUAAGACAUGCUAGUCGUGCGCCUCCCCAUGGUGGAGGCGCGGCGCACAGCUCAGUAACACGUGGUUAACCUGCCCUCGGGACGGGAACAGCCGGGAAACUGGCGAUAAUUCCAGAUAGGUGGGGGACGCUGGAAUGCCUCCUUGCCUAAAUCCUCUGGGGCCCGAGGAUGGGACUGCGGCCUAUCAGGCUGUUGGCGGUGUAACGGACCACCAAACCUACAACGGGUACGGGCGAUGGGAGUCGGAGCCCGGAGAUGGGGACUGAGACAAGGCCCCAGGCCCUACGGGGCGCAGCAGGUACGAAAACUCCGCAAUGCGCGAAAAGCGUGACGGGGGAACCCCAAGUGCCGUUGGUCUUUGAUCGACGGCUUUUAGGGAGUCUAAGAAGCUCCCGGAAUAAGGGCUGGGCAAGUCGGGUGCAGSCGCCGCGGUAAUACCCGCAGCCCAAGUGGUGGUCGCGAUUAUUGGGCCUAAAGCGCUCGUAGCCGGGUCAGCAAGUCCCUUGUGUCGGGCCCUAACCGUUCGGCUUGCAAGGGAUACUGUUGGUCUUGAGGCCGGGAGACGUCUGAGGUACUCCGGGGGUAGCGGUAAAAUGCUGUAAUCCUCGGGGGACCACCAGUGGCGAAGGCGUCAGACGAGAACGGACCUGAGGUGAGGGGCGAAGGCUAGGGGAGCGAACGGGAUUUACCCCGGUAGUCCUAGCUGUAAAGCAUGCGGGCCAGGUGUUGGUGUUCCUUGAGAGCACCAAGUGCCGGAGAGAAGUCGUUAAGCCCGCCGCCUGGGAAGUACGGUCGCAAGGCUGAAACUUAAAGGAAUUGGCGGG